rnacentral:rRNA from 1 species
CUUAACGGUAGAAGGGCCUCGGAUACGAGACGUCUUGAGACCAGCAGAGGCUGGCGGAAUUCGUGGUGUAGCGGUGAAAUGCAUAGAUAUCACGAAGAACACCAGUGGCGAAAGCGGCCGGCUGGGCUGGAUCUGACGCUGAGGUACGAAAGCGUGGGGAGCGAACAGGAUUAGAUACCCUGGUAGUCCACGCUGUAAACGAUGCACACUAGGUGUUGGCCCUUCGGGGUCGGUGCCGCAGCUAACGCAGUAAGUGUGCCACCUGGGGAGUACGUUCGCAAGAAUGAAACUCAAAGGAAUUGACGGGGGCCCGCACAAGCGGUGGAGCAUGUGGCUUAAUUCGAUGCAACGCGAAGAACCUUACCCGGGCUUAAUCCGAGCCGACCGGCCCUGAAAGGGGCCUUCCCUUCGGGGCGG